rnacentral:misc_RNA from 1 species
GAUGAAGAACGUAGCGAAAUGCGAUAAGUAAUGUGAUUUGCAGAAUUCAGUGAAUCAUCGAAUCUUUGAACGCACAUUGCGCCCGCCAGUAUUCUGGCGGGCAUGCCUGUUCGAGCGUCAUUUCAACCCUCAAGACCCCUUCGGGGGACUUGGUGUUGGGGACCGGCACAGGGGCCUGCCUGCUUGUCUUGCAGCGCCCUCGCCGCCCCCGAAAUGAAUUGGCGGCCUCGUCGCGGCCUCCCCUGCGUAGUAGCACAACCUCGCAACGGGAACGUGACGGCGGCCACUGCCGUAAAACAACCCCAAUUUUAUUAGAGUUGACCUCGAAUCAGGUAGGAAUACCCGCUGAACUUAAGCAUAUCAAUAAGCGGAGGA